UGGCUCAGAACGAACGCUGGCGGCAUGCCUAACACAUGCAAGUCGAACGCUCUCGGGGGUUCGCCUCCGGGGGAGUGGCGCACGGGUGAGUAGCGCGUGGGAACCUGCCCUGUUGUGGGGGAUAACCGAGGGAAACUUCGGCUAAUACCGCAUACGCCCCCGGAGUUGAUCCGGGGGGAAAGAUUUAUCGCAGCAGGAGGGGCCCGCGUCGGAUUAGCUGGUUGGCGGGGUAACGGCCCACCAAGGCGAGGAUAAGUAGCUGGUCUGAGAGGAUGAUCAGCCACACUGGGACUGUUUCUCGGCCCAGAGAACUACGGGAGGCAGC
rnacentral:rRNA from 1 species